rnacentral:rRNA from 1 species
GUUAGGAAUAUUGGACAAUGGGCGAAAGCCUGAUCCAGCCAUGCCGCGUGAGUGAUGAAGGCCUUAGGGUUGUAAAGCUCUUUUGUCCGGGAAGAUAAUGACUGUACCGGAAGAAUAAGCCCCGGCUAACUUCGUGCCAGUAGCCGCGGUAAUACGAAGGGGGCUAGCGUUGCUCGGAAUCACUGGGCGUAAAGGGCGCGUAGGCGGACUUUUAAGUCGGAGGUGAAAGCCCAGGGCUCAACCCUGGAAUUGCCUUCGAUACUGGGAGUCUUGAGUUCGGAAGAGGUUGGUGGAACUGCGAGUGUAGAGGUGAAAUUCGUAGAUAUUCGCAAGAACACCGGUGGCGAAGGCGGCCAACUGGUCCGAAACUGACGCUGAGGCGCGAAAGCGUGGGGAGCAAACAGGAUUAGAUACCCUGGUAGUCC